rnacentral:rRNA from 1 species
CUGAAUCAGUGUGUGUGUUAGUGGAAGCGUCUGGAAAGGCGCGCGAUACAGGGUGACAGCCCCGUACACAAAAAUGCACAUGCUGUGAGCUCGAUGAGUAGGGCGGGACACGUGGUAUCCUGUCUGAAUAUGGGGGGACCAUCCUCCAAGGCUAAAUACUCCUGACUGACCGAUAGUGAACCAGUACCGUGAGGGAAAGGCGAAAAGAACCCCGGCGAGGGGAGUGAAAAAGAACCUGAAACCGUGUACGUACAAGCAGUGGGAGCCUCUUUUAUGGGGUGACUGCGUACCUUUUGUAUAAUGGGUCAGCGACUUAUAUUCUGUAGCAAGGUUAACCGAAUAGGGGAGCCGAAGGGAAACCGAGUCUUAACUGGGCGUUAAGUUGCAGGGUAUAGACCCGAAACCCGGUGAUCUAGCCAUGGGCAGGUUGAAGGUUGGGUAACACUAACUGGAGGACCGAACCGACUAAUGUUGAAAAAUUAGCGGAUGACUUGUGGCUGGGGGUGAAAGGCCAAUCAAACCGGGAGAUAGCUGGUUCUCCCCGAAAGCUAUUUAGGUAGCGCCUCGUGAAUUCAUCUCCGGGGGUAGAGCACUGUUUCGGCAAGGGGGUCAUCCCGACUUACCAACCCGAUGCAAACUGCGAAUACCGGAGAAUGUUAUCACGGGAGACACACGGCGGGUGCUAACGUCCGUCGUGAAGAGGGAAACAACCCAGACCGCCAGCUAAGGUCCCAAAGUCAUGGUUAAGUGGGAAACGAUGUGGGAAGGCCCAGACAGCCAGGAUGUUGGCUUAGAAGCAGCCAUCAUUUAAAGAAAGCGUAAUAGCUCACUGGUCGAGUCGGCCUGCGCGGAAGAUGUAACGGGGCUAAACCAUGCACCGAAGCUGCGGCAGCGACGCUUAUGCGUUGUUGGGUAGGGGAGCGUUCUGUAAGCCUGUGAAGGUGUGCUGUGAGGCAUGCUGGAGGUAUCAGAAGUGCGAAUGCUGACAUAAGUAACGAUAAAGCGGGUGAAAAGCCCGCUCGCCGGAAGACCAAGGGUUCCUGUCCAACGUUAAUCGGGGCAGGGUGAGUCGACCCCUAAGGCGAGGCCGAAAGGCGUAGUCGAUGGGAAACAGGUUAAUAUUCCUGUACUUGGUGUUACUGCGAAGGGGGGACGGAGAAGGCUAUGUUGGCCGGGCGACGGUUGUCCCGGUUUAAGCGUGUAGGCUGGUUUUCCAGGCAAAUCCGGAAAAUCAAGGCUGAGGCGUGAUGACGAGGCACUACGGUGCUGAAGCAACAAAUGCCCUGCUUCCAGGAAAAGCCUCUAAGCAUCAGGUAACAUCAAAUCGUACCCCAAACCGACACAGGUGGUCAGGUAGAGAAUACCAAGGCGCUUGAGAGAACUCGGGUGAAGGAACUAGGCAAAAUGGUGCCGUAACUUCGGGAGAAGGCACGCUGAUAUGUAGGUGAAGUCCCUUGCGGAUGGAGCUGAAAUCAGUCGAAGAUACCAGCUGGCUGCAACUGUUUAUUAAAAACACAGCACUGUGCAAACACGAAAGUGGACGUAUACGGUGUGACGCCUGCCCGGUGCCGGAAGGUUAAUUGAUGGGGUCAGCGCAAGCGAAGCUCUUGAUCGAAGCCCCGGUAAACGGCGGCCGUAACUAUAACGGUCCUAAGGUAGCGAAAUUCCUUGUCGGGUAAGUUCCGACCUGCACGAAUGGCGUAAUGAUGGCCAGGCUGUCUCCACCCGAGACUCAGUGAAAUUGAACUCGCUGUGAAGAUGCAGUGUACCCGCGGCAAGACGGAAAGACCCCGUGAACCUUUACUAUAGCUUGACACUGAACAUUGAGCCUUGAUGUGUAGGAUAGGUGGGAGGCUUUGAAGUGUGGACGCCAGUCUGCAUGGAGCCGACCUUGAAAUACCACCCUUUAAUGUUUGAUGUUCUAACGUUGGCCCCUAAUCGGGGUUGCGGACAGUGUCUGGUGGGUAGUUUGACUGGGGCGGUCUCCUCCUAAAGAGUAACGGAGGAGCACGAAGGUUGGCUAAUCCUGGUCGGACAUCAGGAGGUUAGUGCAAUGGCAUAAGCCAGCUUGACUGCGAGCGUGACGGCGCGAGCAGGUGCGAAAGCAGGUCAUAGUGAUCCGGUGGUUCUGAAUGGAAGGGCCAUCGCUCAACGGAUAAAAGGUACUCCGGGGAUAACAGGCUGAUACCGCCCAAGAGUUCAUAUCGACGGCGGUGUUUGGCACCUCGAUGUCGGCUCAUCACAUCCUGGGGCUGAAGUAGGUCCCAAGGGUAUGGCUGUUCGCCAUUUAAAGUGGUACGCGAGCUGGGUUUAGAACGUCGUGAGACAGUUCGGUCCCUAUCUGCCGUGGGCGCUGGAGAACUGAGGGGGGCUGCUCCUAGUACGAGAGGACCGGAGUGGACGCAUCACUGGUGUUCGGGUUGUCAUGCCAAUGGCACUGCCCGGUAGCUAAAUGCGGAAGAGAUAAGUGCUGAAAGCAUCUAAGCACGAAACUUGCCCCGAGAUGAGUUCUCCCUGACUCCUUGAGAGUCCUGAAGGAACGUUGAAGACGACGACGUUGAUAGGCCGGGUGUGUAAGCGCAGCGAUGCGUUGAGCUAACCGGUACUAAUGAACCGUGAGGCUUAACCUUACAACGCCGAAG